rnacentral:lncRNA from 1 species
CUCCGGCCAAAAGAGGCGCGGGCGGGGAGAGAGCGGCCAACUCCGCCAGAGAGAGAAGGAGAGGGAGGGAAAGGAGGGAUGUGCCUCCGCACACACGUUGCCCAGAGCGAAAUGCGCGCUCCUCCCUCAAGUCAAGGAGUUGCCAUACAAAACGCGCCCUGCUCCGCACACGAGGCGCAUCUCUUCUCGCCCCCUCACAAGCCCCAACGCAGGGAGAAAGCAGGCUCGACGGUAUUCCGGGUUUAAAUGUCGAAAUUCAAAAGCGGCUGAGGGGAAGCUGAAACUUUUUUUCCCCUCACGCUCCACGGCGGGAAUGUUGCCCCAAAGCUGCGGCCACAGAAAAAAAGAGAAAGGGGCGGGGAGGCGAGGCGGCGCAGGGUGCCUCCAAGUGGGGCCAAAAGUUUCUCCUCCUCCUCUCCUCUGCCUCUCCUCCUCCUCGUCCUCCUCCUCGGCGCAGCUUCUCCGCAGCCGCCCAGCUCCGCCGCCAGCCGCACAAGGGAAGGAAAAAGAGAGAAACACACGCGGGCGAGUCGGGUGUGCGCGGACGGAGAUUGACAAGCCUCUCCUCCAAUCCAAGGGAGGCGCCGGCCCGGAGUGUGUGGGGCUAACAAAUCUAUGGCUGUUCAGACACUCUGCCCAUAAAUCCCUGUUCAUGGGCACUAGAUCACUCCAAGCAGCUAUGAAAGCUUAUACAAUUUCUACAAUAUCUUUCUCUCAGUCUCAAAGAAACCACUUGUAG